GUCUGUGUGCCCUGGCAGGGAGGCAUAGUAGGGGUAAGAUUGUGAGAUGAGAAGGGUAGUGGGUCAUUGAGAGAGGGGAAAGUGGGAGUGUGAAUACGGUUAGUAGGAAAGGUAGAUAAUAAGUUGACGUGGUCACCGAGAAGUGUGGUCAUCCUUUGUAGCUUGCGGUCCCACCCCUCAGGGAAGGGUGUUGGAUUGGGG